UGAAAUAUGAUCCAAAUCCACACAUAGGAGUGCUAUCCAUAGGUGUAAUGUCACGACCCGCGACCCCCGCCUAUUUGGCCGGAUCGCGGCGCCGCCGACAGACCGCCGAACGGACAGAGUUUCCUCUGUACGUCCUAGGCGUCGCAACAAGUACAAUACAAAGGUUCCAACCAGGAACAGUACUUGGCAAACAGAUUGCAUCAGGAAGGUAUCAAUCAACAUAAACACAACCUAAGUUAUUACAUUCAUUCAUUUGACAUUCAUUUUACAUCACAAUUGCUAACUGAUUUCCUCCAAAUACAAUCUAGAAUAUUACAACACUUUUCUUAUUUACAAUUUGAUACAUUCUUUUAAACUUAAUCCCCCGAGCUAGACUGCCAACACUGGUACUGCUACCUCUGGUCUCUGGGUAGGGCACUAUCUAUGGAGCUACGCCCUUACCUCGCGCCGCCGCGCUGCUCACGUGUGAACCUGAAAACCCCAAAACAACGUAGGGUGAGAACCAACUCCAUGGUUCCCAGUGGGUACGGCCACCCAAGGAAAAUGCUCGUCCGACAGGUUCAAAGGAGGCAACUGCAGGUUAGCUUAAUAAACAGAUAGAUAGAUAUUUAACUAUGCAAUUAAUAAAACCAUACCUUGCCUCGCAAUUUUAACAAUGACAUGCUAUAUGUAAUUCAUGCAAGAAUAUUCUACCAUAAGUAAACUUUGUUGAUUCUACUUAUAUUUUGUUAUCAUACUCAGAUCCAACAAAUCUCUAAGGUGUCAUUUACCUGAUUGAAGCUAGCCACCCGACUCGGUCUUGAGUCAAUCAUCCGCGGAAUGCCGCGCUAAGCCCGGCUCGAGGUGAAGGACGUCUCACUUGCACUUAAGCCUUAGAUCCACUCAACUGGAGUACCAAAUCCACUCUAUUGGGAAUUUAUAUGCUUAUCACCCAAUUUAUGGCUAACCCGCAGGUUCGCCUACUGCUCACUAGCCAUCUCGCCAGUAGGGAGGGUUACUCACACUACGACCCGAGACCGUCGGGCGGGACCCCAAAUAGGUAGUCCCUAACGUGACCACUCCGGAGCGCACUACUUGUGUGGGGCUUCCACUACAAGAUUUAACCGACCGUGAGCAUGAUCCAAUCCUCUCACACGAGGAUACCCUGUCAACUAGGGUCAUCAAUCCCUCAGGAACUCAACUGUCUCUAUGACUAUGUCUCAAGUGUCUUUUGCAAUAGAUUCAUCAACACUAAGUUCAUGUACCAUUCUUUUUCAUCAUAGGCCCUUGACACUAGGUUCAUUGCAACCUAUGUUCACUAAUACUAGGUUCCUUGUCAUUCUUAUCCACCUAGGUUCACGACACUAGGUUCAUAUCCGACCUAUGUUUAAAACACUAGGUUCAUAUGUCAUUCCUGUUCGACCUAUGUUCCAUAACACUAGGUCCUUGUCAUUCUUAUCCACCUAAGUUCACGACGCUAGGUUCAUGCCACUCGAUCUAUUGGAUACCUAAUUGUCCAUAUCGAGGUUCUAUAAUCAUAUGUACUUUAGCAUGCAUCUUUUCAUAAUAUUAAUAUGCCAUGCCCUCUAACAUGCAUUCUCUAAGCAUACAAUUUAAUAUGCAAUUACCAACUAGCAUGCAUUCACAUAAUAUUAACUUGCAUACACAUUUCUCAUUAUGCCAUUAACCAUUAUCUAACAUGAUCUCAUGUUCUCUAGCAUGCUCUCAUACAUGUCAUCAUGAAUCUAUAGUGCUAACAUGUUCAUACAUUUAACAGUUUCUCGUAUGCUUGACAUUCAUUAAUAUGUUCAUGUUCUUUAGCACUCAUCAGAUUACAACAAGACCUAAACCAAGAACACUUGCAACUGUAGCUAAGCGAGGUUUAAGUGUGAGAGCCCCGUAUUAUCUUGAUAUAUUAAUCUAAAAUGAGAAACAAGCUUACUUACUCUUUUUCAUGAGGAACGUUUAAAUCUGACAAUACCGCGUUGACUCAUCAGAUUACAAUAAGGCCAAAACCAUUAUGAAAUACCUUGAACACGUGUAGCAAAGGAACGGGUGAAACAGGAGAAACCCGUAUCAAUCGUGUUAUAGCAACCCAAAACUAUAGAAACUAAGAGAACGGGAAUCUUCCUCAAAGCAGGAACGUUGUUAAAUAUGACAACUGAGCUCGUGUUGACAAUCGAGUCAAGAGUUACAACAAACCAACUAACCGAAAGCAGACUAGCAACUCAAGGGGACACCGAAGCGCUAGCAGCACUAACCAGAUCGCCUGAAAUUGAAGCACCUCAAAAAGCUAAGGAAUCCAAUGCGUAGAGAGCUCGGUUAUAGAGAUCAACCUAAAGAGAGUAUCGAGCUCAGUAAAACCUCAAGGCCUCACGAGUAUACCGUAGCGUACGAGCCCCAGCACUUAUACGAACACUUCCAACCUAUGCACCUUGUGUAACACGUCAGGACGCUCUCGAAGCCCACGUUACGUUCAGCUAUGCGGUGACACCGUCGAGCGAGAUUCGAGAGCAUCCCGGGCCAGAGUUCGCUCCUCAAUCGAUAAGGAGCAUGCAACAUGGAAAAGCGCGGAACGAGAGCCACUGUCCAAGGUCCUGUGCGCCAGUCCAUGGCGCAACAGGUUUAGAGCGGCCGCAGAUAGGCGUACCGAAACGACAGAGCUGACGCAGCACUCGUUAGAAAACGCUCCGUCCCGCUCUGGAAGAGAAGGCGAACAGCGUUGGGUAAACCCGGCUCCAGGCGCGCGACCCAAUACAACCACGUUACAUAUCCUCUGGCUGUAUGGGCAGGUAUCUCCCGGAGUAUGCCACGAAAGACACAUGAUCGCACUAUAGAUAAUAACAUCCGCUUGAGCCGGUGGAGCGCUAUCCACCAGUCUAGGUUGACACCAAACUAGUCAGUGACUACCUCGCGAGCGUGGUAUACGAGGUAACAAACAUAUCAGGAAAGACAAACAGCUAGUCAGACUCACGGGACUUCCCGUCUCGAUUUUAGCUCGGCACACGGUUCCCAAAAGACGUACGAGAA
rnacentral:lncRNA from 1 species